UACGGGGGGGGCAAGCGUUGUUCGGAAUUAUUGGGCGUAAAGAGCUCGUAGGCGGUCUGUUGCGUCGGCUGUGAAAACCCGGGGCUCAACCCCGGGCCUGCAGCCGAUACGGGCAGACUAGAGUUCGGCAGGGGAGACUGGAAUUCCUGGUGUAGCGGUGAAAUGCGCAGAUAUCAGGAGGAACACCGGUGGCGAAGGCGGGUCUCUGGGCCGAUACUGACGCUGAGGAGCGAAAGCGUGGGGAGCGAACAGG
rnacentral:rRNA from 1 species